GGUCUCUUGCAACGUGUGAGCUGCCUCUUGCCAAGAGUGAGUGGCAAAAGAAACUAACCCCGGAGCAGUUCUACGUCACAAGAGAAAAGGGAACGGAACCGCCUUUCAGUGGGAUCUACCUGAAUAACAAGGAAGCAGGAAUGUAUCAUUGCGUGUGCUGCGACAGUCCACUCUUCAGAUCCUUGUUGGAUAUCCAGAAAGAAGUCUUUAGCAUCAAAGGAUCAAGAAGUCCUUCCACUUCGAGAGGCAAUGGCUUCGAUAGUGAAGUUCUGAGAAAAAGUACUGCUCUGGCACUGGGUGGCCUUCGUUUUCCGAGGCUCAUGGUACGUCUGGCUCUGAUGAAAGCCACACAGGGAUCCUGAGACGUCUGGAUACCUCGUUAGGAUCAGCUCGCACAGAGGUUGUCUGCAAGCAGUGUGAAGCUCAUCUAGGUCACGUGUUUCCUGAUGGACCUGGGCCCAAUGGUCAGAGGUUUUGCAUCAACAGUGUGGCUUUGAAGUUCAAACCAAGGAAACACUGACCAUCUUCAAGAGUCCCGUUCCCUUGCCACCCCUUCACGUGCACCCUCAAUUUCCACAAUUCACUUGAAUGACUUGUUUUAUUUGCAAUAAA
rnacentral:lncRNA from 1 species